CGAACGCUGGCGGCAGGCCUAACACAUGCAAGUCGAGCGCGCCUUCGGGUGAGCGGCGGACGGGUUAGUAACGCGUGGGAACGUGCCCUUCUCUACGGAAUAGCCAUUGGAAACGAUGAGUAAUACCGUAUACGCCCUUCGGGGGAAAGAUUUAUCGGAGAAGGAUCGGCCCGCGUUAGAUUAGAUAGUUGGUGGGGUAAUGGCCUACCAAGUCUACGAUCUAUAGCUGGUUUUAGAGGAUGAUCAGCAACACUGGGACUGAGACACGGCCCAGACUCCUACGGGAGGCAGCAGUGGGGAAUCUUAGACAAUGGGCGAAAGCCUGAUCUAGCCAUGCCGCGUGAGUGAUGAAGGCCUUAGGGUCGUAAAGCUCUUUCGCCAGGGAUGAUAAUGACAGUACCUGGUAAAGAAACCCCGGCUAACUCCGUGCCAGCAGCCGCGGUAAUACGGAGGGGGUUAGCGUUGUUCGGAAUUACUGGGCGUAAAGCGCGCGUAGGCGGAUUGGAAAGUUGGGGGUGAAAUCCCGGGGCUCAACCCCGGAACUGCCUCCAAAACUACCA
rnacentral:rRNA from 1 species